GGAGAGGUCGCAUAGUGGCUUAGUGCGCAUGCUUGGAAAGCGUGUAAACCUGCAAGGGUUUCGGGGGUUCGAAUCCCCCCCUCUCCGCCA
rnacentral:tRNA from 1 species